UGCGCAGGCGGUUGUGUAAGACAGGUGUGAAAUCCCCGGGCUUAACUUGGGAAUUGCAUUCGAUACUGGUGAGCUAGAGUAUGGGAGAGGAUGGUAGAAUUCCAGGUGUAGCGGUGAAAUGCGUAGAGAUCUGGAGGAAUACCGAUGGCGAAGGCAGCCAUCUGGCCUAAUACUGACGCUGAGGUACGAAAGCAUGGGGAGCAAACAGGAUUAGAUACCCCCGUA
rnacentral:rRNA from 1 species